CGAAAUAGCUCAACAGGCAGAGCAACUGACUUGUAAUCAGUAGGUUGUUGGUUCGAUUCCGAUUUUCGGC
rnacentral:tRNA from 1 species